rnacentral:lncRNA from 1 species
AGAAGCAGAGCGGGGGUGAAGGCAUCGCGUCCCCGGGCGGGCGGGGCGGCCGGGCGUGAGUGGGGAGCGGCGGGGCGGGGCCGCAGGGCGCCGCCCAGGAGCAGGAGGGUGGGAGGAAGGUGGGCCGAGCGCAGUUGGAGGAGACAAAGGCUGGGCCGGGAAGCUAUUGCUUAAAGAGAUAAAAAUAAAUCAGACCCGGAGACUUCUCAGAGGGAACCUGAACAUUGCUUGUGAAGGUGCUUUUCUCAUCACCGGCCCAGGACAUCUCCCCUUCCUACCCUGUAUCGACUGCACAUCGACUGCAGCUGGUCUGCGGCACCCAGGAACCCAAGUGCAGUCCUGGCCGUUCACCUCCUGAGCCCAGCAGCCAACGGUGUCCGCCCUCCUGCCGCCGCACACCUAUGCCUACUCAGCUUCUGUCCCAGACUCAUGAUCAAAAGUACGAUGCACAUGGCCAACAGGUGCGCAGCGGGAGGCGCUUCCUCGAGCUCUUGCAGUGUGAUCGGGAAUCCCUGCCUGGAAAUACACAGCGCUACUUUCUUGCACCUACUGUUAUCCUGUCCAUGUGAGCAUUUAUUUAGAAGCUCCUUUAAGUUCUCAAAAGUGGUCCCCUGAUGUGGUCAGCAGAGCUCUAAGAGAGCCGGGAUUCCCUCCCCCCUGGUGGGCCUGACCGGGAAACCCUGCCCCUGAGUGCGAACAGGACCUGCGUCUGACAGGAGGCCACUCCAGGGCUCCGAGAAGAAGGGAGUUUCCUGCUGGAUCUGGGUCCAUACCAGGUUGACUUUGAGUUGAUCCAAAAGGAGAUUAUUUGAGCUGGGCCCUUCUUCAAUGAACAAACUUAAACCCUGAAAGAAAUAUAUUUUUUUGACAAUAAGUUGGUCCAACUUUAUUGUAAUCUAUUACAAAAGACAAAUAAGAACCAAUAUCUUUGGUUUUAAGGCCUUUAGAAAUCUGAGUUACAUCUUACUACAGAAGAAUAUAAAUUAGUUCAAAGUACAGUGUAAAAACAAAUGUUUACAAAUGAACAGUGUAUCAUUAGAUGUUUGUAAAUGGUUUCUUCUUACUUCACAACUAUCAACAGUGCUUUAAAAAAUUCCAAUAACCAGUUUGGAAUUGACUGACAAAACCCACACUUGUCUAACAUGAAAGAUGUUCACAGUAGAAUACUCUGGCCACAACCUUCACAUACUACUGGAUGUUGGAAGCUGCUCUGUUGCUAGAUGAAAACAUUUUGUAUUUUUUCUAAUUAGGGAAAAUUAUAUUCACACAUAAGAAAUCAUCUCUUGCUUUACAAAUGCAAGAUAAAUUCUUUGGGGGUCUCCAUGUUAGAGGGACUUUUUUAGUCUGAGGCAAAACAUCAUAUCUUUUGAAAAAUGUAUUUAGCAGAACUCAAGUCCCGCACUAAAGCACAGAACUGGG